rnacentral:rRNA from 1 species
ACGCUCGACACCUACGCGAGGCAGCAGUAGGGAAUCUUCCACAAUGGACGCAAGUCUGAUGGAGCAACGCCGCGUGAGUGAAGAAGGUUUUCGGAUCGUAAAGCUCUGUUGUUGGUGAAGAAGGAUAGAGGUAGUAACUGGCCUUUAUUUGACGGUAAUCAACCAGAAAGUCACGGCUAACUACGUGCCAGCAGCCGCGGUAAUCUGAGCGGGCUGGCAAGGC